rnacentral:misc_RNA from 1 species
GAUGAAGAACGUAGCGAAAUGCGAUAAGUAAUGUGAAUUGCAGAAUUCAGUGAAUCAUCGAAUCUUUGAACGCACAUUGCGCCCCCUGGUAUUCCGGGGGGCAUGCCUGUCCGAGCGUCAUUACAACCCUCAAGCUCAGCUUGGUGUUGGGCCCCGCCGCCCCGGCGGGCCCUAAAGUCAGUGGCGGUGCCGUCCGGCUCCGAGCGUAGUAAUUCUUCUCGCUCUGGAGGUCCGGUCGUGUGCUCGCCAGCAACCCCCAAUUUUUUUCAGGUUGACCUCGGAUCAGGUAGGGAUACCCGCUGAACUUAAGCAUAUCAAUAAGCGGGAGGA